rnacentral:rRNA from 1 species
AUUGAACGCUGGCGGCAUGCCUUACACAUGCAAGUCGAACGGUAACGGGUCCUUCGGGAUGCCGACGAGUGGCGAACGGGUGAGUAAUAUAUCGGAACGCGCCCAGUAGUGGGGGAUAACUGCUCGAAAGAGCAGCUAAUACCGCAUACGACCUGAGGGUGAAAGGGGGGGAUCGCAAGACCUCUCGCUAUUGGAGCGGCCGAUAUCAGAUUAGCUAGUUGGUGGGGUAAAGGCCUACCAAGGCAACGAUCUGUAGUUGGUCUGAGAGGACGACCAGCCACACUGGGACUGAGACACGGCCCAGACUCCUACGGGAGGCAGCAGUGGGGAAUUUUGGACAAUGGGCGCAAGCCUGAUCCAGCAAUGCCGCGUGCAGGAAGAAGGCCUUCGGGUUGUAAACUGCUUUUGUCAGGGAAGAAAUCGUCUGGGCUAAUACCCCGGGAGGAUGACGGUACCUGAAGAAUAAGCACCGGCUAACUACGUGCCAGCCGCCGCGGUAA